GCCGUCUUAGCUCAGCUGGUAGAGCAAUGGUAUCGUAAACCAUAGGUCCGGAGUUCGAAUCUCCGAGACGGCU
rnacentral:tRNA from 1 species